rnacentral:rRNA from 1 species
GACGAACCGUCCAAACGUUAUUCGGAUUCACUGGGCUUAAAGGGUGCGUAGGCGGCUCAGAAAGUAGGGUGUGAAAGCCCUCGGCUCAACCGAGGAAUUGCGCCCUAAACUACUGGGCUUGAGGAACGCAGAGGUAAGCGGAACUUACGGUGGAGCGGUGAAAUGCGUUGAUAUCGUAAGGAACACCAGGAGCGAAAGCGGCUUACUGGGCGUUUUCUGACGCUGAGGCACGAAAGCCAGGGGAGCGAACGGG